GAAGAGGGGGAUAACUGCGGGAAACCGCAGUAUAUACUCCAGGAAGUUGCGAGAGCAAAGUGGGGGACCUUCGGCCUCACGCCGUCGGAUGAGCCCAGCCGAGAUUAGCUGGUAGGUGAGGUAAAGGCUUACCUAGGCCACGAUCUCUAGCGGGUCUGAGAGGAUAGCCCGCCACACUGGAACUGAGACACGGUCCAGACUCCUACGGGAGGCAGCAGUGGGGAAUAUUGCACAAUGGGCGAAAGCCUGAUGCAGCCAUGCCACGUGAGUGAAGAAGGCCCCCGGGUUGUAAAGCACUUUCAGCGAGGAGGAAGCGAUAAAUGCCAAUACCAUUUAUUUUUGACGUUACUCGCAGAAGAAGCACCGGCUAACUCCGUGCCAGCAGCCGCGGUAAUACGGAGGGUGCGAGCGUUACUCGGAAUAACUGGGCGUAAAGGGCAUGUAGGCGGUGACAUAAGUCCGAAGUGAAAUCCCCGAGCUCAACUUGGGAAUGGCAUUCAAAACUAGGUGGCUAGAGUUUCUUAGAGGGGGGUAGAAUUCCAUGUGUAGAGGUGAAAUUCUUAGAUAUCUGGAGGAAUACCAGUGGCGAAGGCGGCCCCCUGGAGAACGACUGACGCUGAGGCACGAAAGCGUGGGGAGCAAACAGGAUUAGAUACCCUGGUAGUCCACGCUGU
rnacentral:rRNA from 1 species